rnacentral:rRNA from 1 species
GACGUAGGGUGCGAGCGUUGUCCGGAUUUAUUGGGCGUAAAGAGCUCGUAGGCGGCUCGUCGCGUCGACCGUGAAAACCCGCAGCUUAACUGCGGGCCUGCGGUUGAUACGGGCGGGCUAGAGUUCGGUAGGGGAGACUGGAAUUCCUGGUGUAGCGGUGAAAUGCGCAGAUAUCAGGAGGAACACCGGUGGCGAAGGCGGGUCUCUGGGCCGUAACUGACGCUGAGGAGCGAAAGCGUGGGGAGCGAACAGG